rnacentral:rRNA from 1 species
UUAAGUGAAUAAGGGCGCACGGAGGAUGCCUUGGCACUAGGAGUCGAAGAAGGACGCGACAAACGGCGAAACGCCUCGGGGAGCUGUAAGUGAGCAUUGAUCCGGGGGUAUCCGAAUGGGGAAACCCGCUAGUGGUUAUACGCUAGCACCAUAUGGUGAAUACAUAGCCAUAUAGGAGACAGACCCAGGGAACUGAAACAUCUAAGUACCUGGAGGAAAAGAAAGAAAAAUCGAUUCCCGUAGUAGCGGCGAGCGAAGUGGGAAGAGCCCAAACCGGAUUUAUCCGGGGUUGUAGGACCUUCAUAAUUGACAAAUCAUGAUAGCCGAAUGGUCUGGGAAGGCCAACCGUAGGGGGUGAGAGUCCCGUAGGUGAAAUUGUGAGAUGCAUGGAAGGAAUCCUGAGUACGGCGGGACACGUGGAAUCCCGUCGGAAUCAACGAGGACCAUCUCGUAAGGCUAAAUACUACCUAGUGACCGAUAGUGAACCAGUACCGUGAGGGAAAGGUGAAAAGAACCCCGGAAGGGGAGUGAAAGAGAACCUGAAACCGUGUGCCUACAAAUAGUCAGAGCCCGUUAAUGGGUGAUGGCGUGCCUUUUGUAGAAUGAACCGGCGAGUUACGAUAUCGUGCGAGGUUAAGCAGAAGAUGCGGAGCCGUAGCGAAAGCGAGUCUGAAUAGGGCGAAGAGUACGAUGUUGUAGACCCGAAACCGUGUGAGCUAGCCAUGAGCAGGCUGAAGGUCAGGUAACACUGACUGGAGGGCCGAACCAGGGCACGUUGAAAAGUGCUUGGAUGACUUGUGGCUAGGGGUGAAAUUCCAAUCGAACACGGAUAUAGCUGGUUCUCUCCGAAAUAGCUUUAGGGCUAGCCUCGAUGUUAAGUCUACUGGAGGUAGAGCACUGAAUGGGUGAUGGCCCCACCUCGGGGUACUGAUCUCAAUCAAACUCCGAAUGCCAGAUAGAUAUAAUCGGGAGUCAGACUGUGGGUGAUAAGGUCCAUGGUCAAAAGGGAAAGAGCCCAGACCGCCAGCUAAGGCCCCCAAGUGUCCGUUAAGUGGAAAAGGAUGUGGAGAUGCACAGACAACUAGGAGGUUGGCUUAGAAGCAGCCAUCCUUUAAAGAGUGCGUAAUAGCUCACUAGUCGAGUGACUCUGCGCCGAAAAUGUACCGGGGCUAAACGGACCGCCGAAGCUGCGGAUUGACACUUAGGUGUCAGUGGUAGGAGAGCGUUCUAACAGCGGAGAAGCAGUACCGGAAGGAGCUGUGGAGCGGUUAGAAGUGAGAAUGCCGGUGUGAGUAGCGAAAGAUAGGUGAGAAUCCUAUCCAUCGAAAGCCUAAGGUUUCCAGGGGAAGGCUCGUCCGCCCUGGGUAAGUCGGGACCUAAGGUGAGGCCGAAAGGCGUAGCCGAUGGACAACAGGUUGAUAUUCCUGUACCACUUAUUAAACUGAUGGAGUGACGGAGAAGGCUAAGUUGAGCGUGUUAAUGGAUUCACGUGUAAGCAGUGAGGUGGUCAUGUAGGCAAAUCCGCAUGGCAUAACAUUGAGCUGUGAUGCCGAAGCCGUAUGGCGAAGUCAACUGAUGUCACGCUUCCAAGAAAAGCUUCUAGGGUUAAUUUAGUAAGUGCCCGUACCGAUAACCGACACAGGUAGGCGAGGAGAGAAUCCUAAGAUGAGCGAGAGAACUCUUGUUAAGGAACUCGGCAAAAUGACCCCGUAACUUCGGGAGAAGGGGUGCUUGUGAAAGCAAGCCGCAGUGAAUAGGCCCAGGCGACUGUUUAUCAAAAACACAGGUCUCUGCUAAACCGCAAGGUGAUGUAUAGGGGCUGACGCCUGCCCGGUGCUGGAAGGUUAAGAGGAGAGGUUAGCGCAAGCGAAGCUUUGAAUUGAAGCCCCAGUAAACGGCGGCCGUAACUAUAACGGUCCUAAGGUAGCGAAAUUCCUUGUCGGGUAAGUUCCGACCCGCACGAAAGGCGUAACGAUCUGGGCACUGUCUCAACGAGAGACUCGGUGAAAUUAUAGUACCUGUGAAGAUGCAGGUUACCCGCGACAGGACGGAAAGACCCCGUGGAGCUUUACUGCAGCCUGAUAUUGAAUGUUGGUACAGCUUGUACAGGAUAGGUAGGAGCCUUGGAAACCGGAGCGCCAGCUUCGGUGGAGGCAUCGGUGGGAUACUACCCUGGCUGUAUUGACCUUCUAACCCGCCGCCCUUAUCGGGCGGGGAGACAGUGUCAGGUGGGCAGUUUGACUGGGGCGGUCGCCUCCUAAAAGGUAACGGAGGCGCCC